rnacentral:rRNA from 1 species
UGGGGAAUCUUGGACAAUGGGCGCAAGCCUGAUCCAGCCAUGCCGCGUGGAUGAUGAAGGCCUUAGGGUUGUAAAAUCCUUUCGUGGGGGACGAUAAUGACGGUACCCCAAGAAGAAGCUCCGGCUAACUUCGUGCCAGCAGCCGCGGUAAUACGAAGGGGGCUAGCGUUGUUCGGAUUUACUGGGCGUAAAGCGCGUGUAGGCGGGUCGUUAAGUUGGGGGUGAAAUCCCGAGGCUCAACCUCGGAACUGCCUUCAAAACUGGCGACCUGGACCCAAGUAGAGGCAAGUGGAAUUGCGAGUGUAGAGGUGAAAUUCGUAGAUAUUCGCAGGAACACCAGUGGCGAAGGCGACUUGCUGGACUUGUGGUGACGCUGAGACGCGAAAGCGUGGGGAUCAAACAGGAUUAGAUACCCCCGUAGUCCCUGAGCGGGCUGGCAAGGCGCAU